UCUUCUGACAGCAUCCACUAAAGUUCGAGCGUACCCCAAACCGAACGCUCAAACCACAAGGCAAUCACCAGAGACCAAGGCUGUCCUGGCUGAGAUGACUGACCCCUCUUAGCACAGGGACGUCAACAUCAAAGGCACAGGGGCUGGCUCCUUCCUGCCACCCCCGGCUGCUCCCACAGCGACUCAGCCCCGGGCCAGCGCCCCAUGUUCUGGCCGUCAGCGACGUCGUCUGUAAUGGAUGACACUUGGCUCCCUGCUCCACAGCGCCGGCUUGGCAAGUCUGGCACCUGUUGCUCUCUCUUCUUCUUCAAUGGGGGCAGGAGGACAAGCACACCUAGAUGGCACCAUGAGGGAACACUAAGGAUUACAAGACACGUGCUUUCGGGACCCAGGCUGUUUUUCUUCUGAUUGAAAAACCAUAGCUUUCCCCAAAGGCUCAAAAAUGGAAGUUUUUUUUUUAAAUCAGUAAUGGAUGUUGAAUCUUAUCAAAUGCUUUUAUAACAUUUAGUGAAACGAUAAUAGGGUUUUACUUUUAUCAGUUGUUAACAUGGCAAAUUGAAUCAAUUGGUUUUUCUGUGCAAAUCAACCAUACAUUCCUAGGAUAAACACCACUUGUUAAGAUUGUGCCAAACUUUUCCAAUAAAUUAUUGGAUUGAUUGGA